rnacentral:rRNA from 1 species
UACGUAGGGUGCGAGCGUUAAUCGGAAUUACUGGGCGUAAAGCGUGCGCAGGCGGUUGUGUAAGAUCGAUGUGAAAUCCCCGGGCUUAACCUGGGAACUGCGUUGAUGACUGCACGACUCGAGUACGGCAGAGGGGGUGGAAUUCCUGGUGUAGCAGUGAAAUGCGUAGAGAUCAGGAGGAACACCGAUGGCGAAGGCGCCCCCUGGGCCGAUACUGACGCUCAUGCACGAAAGCGUGGGGAGCAAACAGG